rnacentral:misc_RNA from 1 species
CCCAGGCAUUCCAAGUAUUAAAGCAUAAUCCUUAGCAGUAAGUAUCUUAAGAAUUGCUCGGCGCUGAUCACCAUUUAAACUCUUCACUGACCAAAUAUAAGAUAUUGCUGGAUCUUGGCUAAAUACACACCCACUAUCAAAUCUAGGAGGCUCAAGGUCAACAACUAUAUUCCUAAGAUGAGAACUCUGCGCAUUCUGUAAAAAAAG